GGGCCGGACUGGCCUGAAGUAUGAGGUCUGGUAGUGAGGACCAUCCCAGCCAGCACCUCAGGGCUGCCUUUCAGAUAGAAGAAACUUAUUAUAGGACCCACACUUCAAAGCUACUUCCUUCAGUGGUGCCUGGGGAGUUAAGUUUACCAACGUGGUAAUAGUGGAAAGUGGUGCCAAGUGAGUACAAUCUGGUAUUAAAAAGCCUGAGUUUGAAUCCCUGAUCUGCUACUUUUUAACUGUCUGACUAUGGAUCUUGGUUUUUUCAUGUGUUCAGUGGUGAUACUACUAUUUUAUUAUUGUUGCUGUUGUCUUGUGGGGUUGUUGUGAGAAGUAUAUGAGAUAGUGUAUGUGAAGCCACUUUGCAAAUUAUAGUGACAAGGAUAUGUGGAGGAUGACUAUUAUUUGCUAGGCUAUCUUCACUCUUGGGGGCUUCAAAAAGUACUGUAUGAGUCAACUGGAGUCUCUUCCACUCCGAUGUCCCAGUGUAAACACCCUGCUUGGCCCUUAUUUGAGCUGAACGGCUCUUCUUACUCGAAGGGACUCAGGAAUGGGAUUUGCUUCUUGUGUGACCUUGGACUUCUGGCUCUCUCUUUUCUGAUCUGUAAACUGGGGCUGGAGGGCAGAUAUUAAAUCUGAUAAUCCCUGAGGAGUAUUAUGUCUCACAAAGGAAGUCGCCACCUUGAGGUCACUGCAAAGAGGGGGAAACUAUUAGACAGUUUAUCAUUAACAAUAAGCACAUCACACCUCAGAGCCCAGAUGUGCUGAGCUGUCCUACAUGCCCCCAGUUGCUCCUUAACAUCUCUGGAUGUUAUCCCUCCAUUUACAGAAGUUGAAACUGAAGACCAAGAGAGCAAGACUGCAAGGGAUUACUGAGAUCUGCCCUGUGCUCCCUGUUCGGGAACUGCUUGACUCCUACUCCAGCCAUAGGUUCACAUGACCCAGCCCCUCCACCACAGUUGAGUGAUCCAGUCACCUUCCCAAGGUGACCAAUCUCUGGGCCAAGCAGAGAUUUUUCAAACUAGAGAUGGGAAGUUCUCUGGUGGAGGCGCUACAAGAUACCAAAUUGGGAGAUGUUGGUAACCCUGUUAUCUACCAUGUGAUACAGAAAUCAAUCACUCUCUCUCUCUCUUUCUCUGUCUCUCAUUCUUGAUUUCAUUGUUGCUGAAACCAAGCCACCUGGCUGCCAUUCUCACUCAGUGGUAUUGUAAAAGAUAUCAGUUGGUUUUAUCUCCCCUGGAUCCUUUCCCCUCAUUUUAAUGAAAUGACCCCCAUUUUCCUUCAGGGAGUUACCCCUCUGCCAUCUAUGUCCUGGUGGGACUGUCUGUGAUGGUUCCUCCCAUCUCGCCCCCAAAUCAUGUGAUGAGCAUAUGACCCAAACCAGUCUAGUUAGACUCAGUCUUCAGGGAAUUUUUUAGCGUGAGCAGAGUGAUUUAUACAAUGGAGGCAGUUGUCACUAAGCUCUUUUAAUUGCAGUACUGCAAAGAGGUGAUUUAUGAGUUUUACCUACCUCAAUCCCUAUGUUGCUCGAAUUGCUGUCUUUCUCAAAGCCUCAUUGUUUAAUUUGACUUUGAUCCUAUCCAAUACCUUUCCAGUGCAGUCAUUUUUUGGCUUAAGUUUUCCAGUGUUGGAUUCUGUUAUUUGCAACCAAAGAUUCCUAACUGAUAAAGAAAUUGGAACUAGAGUUGAGUUGUAGACACCAUAUCCUCUAGGAAAUGUGGGAUAUUCAAAAUUAUUGAGCUGUGAUGGGGCAAAAUACAAUGAGGUUGUUGUUCAUGCUCUAGUCUGGGAAGCCAGCAGUGGUCUGCAGUGGUAAAGACCUAUGUCUUACAUUACUUCAUAGCAUCUGACCACUGAGGAUGAAGCUCUCAGAGAAGGGAUAACACGUGUCACAGUUAAUUUUAAGGGAGUGAGGAAUGUUCAAGCUGUGUGAUAGAGCAUUUUGUUUCUAACUGCACAGAAUAAUAUAAAGGGAGAGUCAACAAAGGAAGCCCCAAUGCCUUUUUUUUUUCAUACAGAAUGAACAGACAGUAUUUCUAUGACUACAGUAAAAGAGUCUUAUGACUUGCAGUACAGCUGAGUUCUCCAAAUACCAAAGUUGGCAACUGAUUGUGCAGGUUGCUGAAUUCACGGCCCUGCUGCACUUUGUGAAGUUAGGCAUUAAUAGGGUGCGGGACUGUGACAAGUGGAAUGAUCAUCUGAGAGAUGUGGGAGAAAAUCGAAAGCUCUCUAAAACACCAGGUGCAAAUAGUUCACACUUUUUCUUACAGGAGAAAGCUCACAAUUUCCUGCUUUGCCCCAUCCCUCAAGGGUACUUAGCUGGAAGGUGGGGAUCAGUUUGGCCUAGAGCAUGACAAGUAGACGCAGUAGGUAAAAAUCCUGGACCUAUACAGAAUUGCAGAAACUUCUUAACUGACACCAUCAAAAAUUUGGGGAAAUACCUGUGGAAAUGGAUUUUUGUGGUGUUUUAUCAAGGAAGGGGGAAUGUAAUUUUGGCUCAGGCUGAUAUUCUUGAUACGGAUUCACUUACCAGGGAUUAUUUGGCAUUCCCUGUGCUAGCUCCAGGAGCUGGCAAGGCUCUAACAAAAUGCAAACUUAAAACAAAUGCUGGCCCAUGCGAAAUGGAAUUUAAGGGCCCCAAAUCCCUUGGCAUCAUGUAGAGGAAGGGAUUCAAAUAUUUCUGAAGACAGAAUGCUGGAUUGCAUCUAUUUUGUGCCUCAUUCCCACAAAUACCUCUAACUGUAGCCCUCACACUUUACCCUUGCUUUGAGGAAAGUCAAGAAUGCUGGGUGGAGAGGCUGCAAUUUGAAAUAGUUUGCCUGAUUCAGAGGGGAAGAAGAAUGCAAAGAUGUGGGAGGCCAGGCGUUGGCACUUCGUCCUCCGAAAUGAAGUGGGAAUGAUCAUUGUAAUAUUCAGUAGGCUCUGUAUGAGGCAAGAACUCAUGGUGUAGUGUUACAGGCUGAAAGAAUGAGGGUCGUGAUCAACUCAGUAUACUACUGGAGGCUAUAUGAGUAACCAGUAAACUGUUUCUCAUAAAUGCAGAAUGUUGGCAAACUGACAAACUGCAUCUGUCACCCAGAAGGAAUGCUGAGGGCUGUCACGCCCCAAGCAUAGUGUUUCUUAUGAAUAGGUACAUCUGAAGCCUGUUAGUAACAAUAUGAACCUGUGAUCAGUUAAGCAACUGACC
rnacentral:lncRNA from 1 species